CAUCUUAUAAUAACUUAGUAGAGCAUGGUGAAGCCUAACAGAUCAGAACUAACAGGCCACUGCUGCUCUAAGAGGUUGCCCUCUGCCUCAGACUUUCUGCUAAUCAUUCUCAUGUUUUUACUUCCUUAUGUUUACGUCCUUGGUGGACGUGGAUGUUGUCAAACCCUGUGUCUUCUGAGGCUUGGAUGGAUGGUCACAAGGUGGAGUGAAGGCACUCUUGGGACUACAUGUUACAUCAGAGGUCAUCUUCCUCUCUCUAGCCAAUCCUAGGGAUGACAUCCCCACCUCCGAAAUGGGUUCGCUGUGUGCCAAGCAUACUGGUAGGAAGGGUUUUGUUCCUGGAAUUCGGGAAGGCUGCCCAGUUUGCUGAAGUGAGCAGAAAGUCUUCACAGGGUGAGCAUCUACAUCUUUGCACCAUGUGCGUGUCUGGUGCCUGAGGAGUCCCAGAAGAGGACACUGGAUCCCCUGGAGCUGGGCUUACAGAUCAUUGUGAGCCACCCCGUGAAUGCAGGGAAUAGAACCUGGGACCUCUGGAGGAGCUGCCGCUGCUCUUAACCACCGUGCUAUUUCUCCACAUCCUCUUCUAUCUUUGUCAGUCAAUGUUACCAUCAAACGGAGAUGAGACCCAGUUUCACUAAGAACACUAAGCCCAAUGCUCCCAUCAGGUGUAAAUGACUAAAUCUGUACAUAAAACUUUACACCUUGUGAUGGUUAGAUCACAAAGUAGGCGCCCCGAGAUGGCGGUGCAGACCUAAGACGGCUCCCUGAGCCUACCUGGGGCAGAUGGCCACGAGUAAAUAGAAACUUAACCACCAGCAUUUCUCAGAAACCCUGUGACUCAGGGAUUUUGGCUUUCAGAUAACUGCAAUUUCCAAGGUCCCCCUCCCCUAAAUGGCCACCUACCACAGGCAAAAGGACAUUUGAUACUCAUAAAGUGGCCUCAUUGCAAUCAGGCACAGACCCUUUCCAGUAGGCUUGACCUGGGGAUCUUGUUCUAUCCAAGAUAGGAAAAAAAAAAUGUGAGAGGGAAGGAUCUGCUCUUAAGCCUUCAGAAGCCCUGCAAAGCCUACCCGUUCUCCUGGCCGGGCUGCUUGCUGUUCACUACCUUUGUGAGACAGCUCAGCAGUUGUUUCUCCAAUAAACUUUUUCUUCCCCCGUGCACAGAGUUGUC
rnacentral:sRNA from 1 species